GGAUCCAGACUUUGAUCAUGGCUCAGGAUGAACGCUAGCUACAGGCUUAACACAUGCAAGUCGAGGGGAAACGAUAUUGGAAGCUUGCUUCCGAUAGGCGUCGACCGGCGCACGGGUGAGUAACGCGUAUCCAACCUGCCCACCACUUGGGGAUAACCUUGCGAAAGUAAGACUAAUACCCAAUGAUAUCUCUAGAAGACAUCUGAAAGGGAUUAAAGAUUUAUCGGUGAUGGAUGGGGAUGCGUCUGAUUAGCUUGUUGGCGGGGUAACGGCCCACCAAGGCGACGAUCAGUAGGGGUUCUGAGAGGAAGGUCCCCCACAUUGGAACUGAGACACGGUCCAAACUCCUACGGGAGGCAGCAGUGAGGAAUAUUGGUCAAUGGACGAGAGUCUGAACCAGCCAAGUAGCGUGCAGGAUGACGGCCCUAUGGGUUGUAAACUGCUUUUAUAAGGGAAUAAAGUGAGCUACGUGUAGCUUUUUGCAUGUACCUUAUGAAUAAGGACCGGCUAAUUCCGUGCCAGCAGCCGCGGUAAUACGGAAGGUCCGGGCGUUAUCCGGAUUUAUUGGGUUUAAAGGGAGCGUAGGCCGGAGAUUAAGCGUGUUGUGAGAUGUAGAUGCUCAACAUCUGCACUGCAGCGCGAACUGGUUUCCUUGAGUACGCACAAAGUGGGCGGAAUUCGUGGUGUAGCGGUGAAAUGCUUAGAUAUCACGAAGAACUCCGAUUGCGAAGGCAGCUCACUGGAGCGCAACUGACGCUGAAGCUCGAAAGUGCGGGUAUCGAACAGGAUUAGAUACCCUGGUAGUCCGCACGGUAAACGAUGGAUGCCCGCUGUUGGUCUGAAUAGGUCAGCGGCCAAGCGAAAGCAUUAAGCAUCCCACCUGGGGAGUACGCCGGCAACGGUGCAACUCAAAGGAAUUGACGG
rnacentral:rRNA from 1 species